ensembl:lncRNA
CCAGAUUCUCGGGAUGUGCCGCUGCUUGGAGGGUGCCGGGUGAUGGGUGACCUGCCCGUUUGCAGACUGAAGAGCUGUGCCGCCCAGACUUGAGUGCCUCGGUGCCAACUGAGAGUCAUGACUUAACAGGAGAAUGGGAAAGCAUCUGGAAUAACCCACAGUGAGCUCAAACAGUGUCUGGUUCAGGGCUACUGAGGGCUGUCCAGACAAGCAGAGACUGGUAUCAGGAAACCAACUCUCCCCUCACCUUCUGCCAAAAAAGGAACUACAAAAAUAGAGUAUGCUUCAGUGGGCAUGGUGGAAAUGCUACGUUGAAUAGCCAUGGAAAGGUGAAUAUUAUUAUUAUUAUUUUUUUUUGGAGGAAGGUUAGCCCUCAGCUAACUACUGCCAGUCCUCCUCUUUUUGCUGAGGAAGCCUGGCUCCGAGCUAACAUCCGUGCCUAUCUUCCUCUAGUUUAUACGUGGGACGCCCCCCACAGCAUGGCUGCCAAGCAGUGCCAUGUCCGCACCCGGGAUCCGAACCAGCGAACCCCGGCCCGCCGAGAAGAGGAACGUGCGAACUUAACUGCUGCGCCACCGGGCCGGCCCCGGAAAGAUGAAUAUUAUUAUAAUAUAAUAUAGGACAGUCUUGGGUUGCUAAUUCCCUCCCUGCAGAUUGACCCCCAUCCCUGAUCAGAACACGUCUUUGACAUAAUAAAGCACCGAAGUUGUACACCCUUCUGUGAAGGAUCAGGGUCUACCAAGCUGGAAUCAGGAACCACCAUGUCCACCCCUUUGACACCUAGGUGCCGCUGGAUGGAGCCAGGACCCUGGGAAGAGGGAGAUUGGAGGCAGAAGGGACUGUGAGCACCAGCUGAGGCUCACAAAUCUGUAAGAUCAAAAGGAAACCCAAUGGGAAGAAGAAAGAAAUGUCUCUUGCUGUCCUCAGUACUGUCUGUGUGCUCGUGAAUCACGACCAAUAGGAUGAUUGCUUGAUUUCUGGUAAUGAAAUCUGUCAGCACACCAGGCAUUCAAGGCAUAACAAUAAGAUAGCAAUACUAAUAGCUACCACUUAUUGUGCGCUUUCUCUGCCCAGUCACUGGGCUAAGUCCUCUACAUUCCUACACCAUCUAAUCCAUGAGAUGAUAUAUUAUUUAUCUGUUGCUGCAUAACAAAUUACUCCAAUACUUAGCAAAUUAAAACAAUAAACAUUUCUUAUCUCUCACAGUUUCCGUGGGUCAGGAAUCUGAGAAUGGCUUGGCUGGAGGCUCUGGCUCACGGUCUCUUAUGAGGCUGUAGUCAUCUGAAGCCUCCACCAGCACUGGAGGAUCCUCUCUCGCAUGCCUGGCAAGGUAGUGCUGGCUGUUGGCAGAAGGGCUCAGUUCCUUGCUAUGUGGACUGCUUGAGUGCAUGGCUGCUUGAGUGUUCUCACAACAUGGCAGCUGGCUUCCCCCAGAGCAAGAGCCCUAAGAGAAACCAAGCUGCUGUAUGUCUUUUUUGACCCCGCCUCAAAAGUCACAUUCUGUCUUUUCUACAAUAUUCUAUUGAUUAUAUGGGUCAGCCCUAUUCUGUGCAGGAAGAGUCUAUACAAGGGCAUGAAUACCAGAAGAGGGGAUCACUGG